GGUGGUCCAGUGGUAAAACCCUCAACUGUUAUCUGGCAGGCGUGGGUUCGAACCC
rnacentral:tRNA from 16 species